GAUGAACGCUGGCGGCGUGCUUAACACAUGCAAGUCGAACGGUGAAGCCAAGCUUGCUUGGUGGAUCAGUGGCGAACGGGUGAGUAACACGUGAGCAACCUGCCCUGGACUCUGGGAUGAGCGCUGGAAACGGCGUCUAAUACUGGAUAUGAGCCUCUUCCGCAUGGUGGGGGUUGGAAAGAUUUUUUGGUCUGGGAUGGGCUCGCGGCCUAUCAGCUUGUUGGUGAGGUAAUGGCUCACCAAGGCGUCGACGGGUAGCCGGCCUGAGAGGGUGACCGGCCACACUGGGACUGAGACACGGCCCAGACUCCUACGGGAGGCAGCAGUGGGGAAUAUUGCACAAUGGGCGAAAGCCUGAUGCAGCAACGCCGCGUGAGGGAUGACGGCCUUCGGGUUGUAAACCUCUUUUAGCAGGGAAGAAGCGAAAGUGACGGUACCUGCAGAAAAAGCGCCGGCUAACUACGU
rnacentral:rRNA from 1 species